rnacentral:lncRNA from 1 species
GGUAAUCAAUUCAUAUUACAAAUAUAUUCAUGGCUUUGAAUUAACCUCUAGCCAAAAUAAAUUUAGUUACACAUUAUUAAAACAGAAAUAAAAUAUAAGUUUGGAAAGAUUUAACCGAGAAAAGAAGGCAGCUUGCUGCUUCUGUCUGUGCCCUUCUCGUGCUGCAAGGCAGCUUCCUGUCAGUUCUCUCCUCUUCCUUCCGUGCUGCCCUCUGCCCUCACUUCUCUCCCUUUUAUUUUCUUAUUCUGUUUUUUUCUUUUUUUUUCUGCGCAGUCCUCUCUCUGCACUCUUCCCUGCGCCUCUGACUUCUAUUUUCUUCUUAUUUUCUUCUACACAGUUUUCUGUGCUGCACCACUGGCUUCUGACCUCUCCCUUCUGUCCGUGCUAUCUGCUGCCGCAAGGCAGCUGUCUGCCUUUUGGUUCUCCCCUGCUCAAGCUGCCAAAUGGCAGCUUUCCUCUUGCCUUUCUCUCCUGCCCCGCGUCACUUCUCUCUGUCUGACCUUCUCUCCCCCCUGCUGUCCUCACCUUUCUCUGCUGUCCUCACCUUCGGUUUCUGCUUUCCUCGCUGCCCAAGGCAGCCAAGCCUUUUAUUCCUCCUGCCCAGGUUCACUUCUUUCCGUCUCUGCGAGUUGCCCAAAGGGCAGCCCCCUUUCUCCUGCUCCCCCCUCCUCUUCUCCUUAUUUUUCCAAAGCCCCCCUGGAAGCUCAGCUCCCCCACUCUUUUAUUCUUUUAUUUCUGACCUACUCCCCACUACUAUUUUUCUAUUCUUUCCACCUACCUUCUCCACUCUGUCCGUGCCCUCUCCCCUUUCUUAUUUCUUUUUUUCCUUCUUUUCCUUCUUUCAUUCUUUUACAAAACAUUCAAACAUCAUUAUUAUUAUUUAUUUAUUAUUAUAUAUUUUUUUAAUUUAAUUUAAAAGCUGAUCUACACAGACAGUUUUUACGAAUUUAUUACAUAAAAUUUCACUUGUUCUAUUUUUAUUUUCUUUGCAUAACAAAUCCUAUAAACACAAAAAUAACGUAAAUAACUCAAAAAUAUAAGGAACUAACUAAGAAAAGACGAGUGAAUUUGAAGUAAAAAUAUAUAUAAAUAUGAUCCGAUCAAAUACCCCCAUACUUAGCUUUUGCUAGUCCUCGAGCAAAACAAAGAAAACAUGAAAAAGUACUAACAUGAAAAACAUUAGUUUCCCCCUAUGUGACCCUCAUAGAAUUUCAUUUGAGAACACAAAUCAUCAAGAACCAUAGCUAGCACCAAACAAGUUAAUCCAAGUUCAUCUUCUUUAUUCAAAUAUUAGCAGUAAUCUUUGAAUCAUCCUUGAGGUGUAGUGUGUGAGAUAGCCAUGCUAAUGCAAUUUCAAGUUUUUAUUUUUAAAAUCAUCAUAUGCGAACUAGCGACCUUCUCACGGGAUAUACACUCAAUCACACAUGUGUCUAGUUUAAAUGUGUUUCGCUCAAAGAAUCAAAUGUGAAAUUUCUACCAUAAGCUUGCAUAAAGAUCACUUCUCCACAGUCAUAAUUGCAAAACUUAAAUCAAGAGGACUUUUAUUGGAUGUAAUGAGGCUUAUGGAUAUGGUUAUUGAAACGAAAGAAUAGGAAAACACAAGUUCCAAGCUACAUUGCAAGCAAUUAUUUUGUUUAGAUUUAUAAGAACUCAAGCUCUCCAACGAUUCUUCUGAUACCUCCAAUCACACCCUUAAACUGAAACUUUAAAAACUUUUUAUUUUCUUUGUAUACAAUCUUUCUUUUUCUUUUCUCUUUUUUUUUUUUUUUUAUUUUUUUAUUUUUUAAAUACAAACAUGAAAUACCCCCACACUUAUUCUUUUGCCAAACACCUUCAAAGUACUUCACAAACGUAUCUCAUAGGACAAUCUCGCAUUGCUCGCUUGGAAAGGGUAAGGAAAAAUGUUUUAGGUAUAAGGGUAAAUAUCUGGUGAUAAGAAAUAAAAGGCUCAACAUACACGGCUCAAAUUGGCAAUCUAAUGAUAUCAUUUUUCUUUGGGAAACAUGGUUAUUUGGGCCAUGGUGGUAAACCUAAUGCCUCUAUCAUUUCCAAGUUCAUGCAAUCAAUGACAAACAUUUCGAAAGAUCGUUACCCAAGUUCUAGAGAUGUAUCUCACAUAAGUUCAUCACACAUGAAAGAAUAGGAGUGUAUGAAAAAUGCACACACUUUCAAUAGGCUCAAAAACUCACAUAGGAUGUAUAUGGUCACUAAAUUCACAGAUGAAGCUUUAAGUCAUACUUUAGUUUCACAUUAACAAGGCUAUGUGCAUUUGGUUUUUCAAAGAUGAUCAAACAUGUACAAAACUAACAAGAGAAUUAGGAAUUUCACAAAACACAUGUUAACUAAGUUCUUGAUGAUCAUGGUUCAAAUUUGAUCCAAUUAUAUCAUUGGGUCGGGAAACUAACAAAAAUCUAAUUCAGAACAAUAAGGGGAACAAGACAAUAUUUUUGGAUUUUUAAAUUUUCCGAAUUUUUUGUUUAAAAUUAAAUUUUUUUUUUUAAAAAGAAAACAAAACUAAUUAAGAAAACAAAAAAAAACAACAACACGGAAACAAAUGAAACCCGUUCGUAGUUGAAGGUACAAAAAAUUUCAAUUUGGUCAUUUUUUAUACUCUUUACCCCCAAACUUAAACUGGACAUUGUCCCCAAUGUCAGAAAACACUAUAAUACAAAUAAAAAUAAAAUAAAUAAAUAAUAAGAAACAAAAUAAAACAAUGGGACUGAAAACUUCCCUAAUUUGCAGUAAAAUCAAGCGAUGACCCCCAAGCUAAAAUUCUGCAAUCAACUUCAAGGGUGGAAAGAACCAAAAGUUCCUGCAAAGAAAAGAAACAAUUCAGUUAAGUAACGCAAGAAAAUGUAAAAAAAAUUGCAAACGAAAAAUUGAAAAUCACGAUAAAAGACAAUGAAUAGAACUAAUAAGUGAUCAUUGGUCGUGCUUGUUGACUUUCCACAGCUUUCCUCUUGAACAGGGUGACACUUAGCUUUUUACUUGCAAGUGAUGAUUUGAUGAUAUUGUACGGCGAAGCUUUGCUCUUUGGUGAUGUUGCAGUUCCUUAUUUGUUCUCCAAGCAGAUGUGGCAGCUUCUCUAGUUCUUCAGCUCGGACUCCUUGUGCUGGGUUGAUUGUACGAGCUGCAUUCUUCUCUGCUUGUUUCUUCUGCACAACGGGCAGGCACGAGGGAGAGGUGUUGGUCUGUUUCUUUCUUCAAUCUUUCCAAGUGCCCACCUCUUGCUCUCUUUCUCCUUGUCCCUAGCUGAAUUGUCUCCACAUGCUUCGAGGUAUCAUUUUCACUUCCCUUACUGUCCCCCAGGCAGAUGUGGUAGACGAAGAGAAAGCAUAAAAUGAUGAAGAUGAGUACUCGAGAGCAAGGCUAGGUAAGCAAUCAGGAAGGGGUUCCAGGCAGUUGGCUCCAGAUCGGAAGAUUGAUACCAAAUGCUGGCUGAUUGCUCUUUUUCUCCUUGUCGUAAAACAAAGACAAGGAAAAGGACAGGGAGAAAGCAUGAUAUGAGAUACUCUUGCUUUCAACCUUCAUGAUAUGAAAUACUUUUGCUCUGGAUGGGUUGUUUGCAGGGGUAUCCCAGGGAAUGAGGAAUACAGUGUGACUCGAGAGGGUUCUUUGGGAAUGCAUUCUCGGAGAUGAAGAAGUGCUGAGAGGGUCUGCCUUUGCUGUGGAAGGCGAAGGUAAAUACUUAUAGGACUUUUCUUCACAACCGGAACUAUUCUCUCACUCAUUGUCGGUAGCCGGUGGAUGGAUGAAUAGUACAAAUUACGCGCUUUCUGACAAAGCUGCCCGUAAUUUCCGCAAAGCAGAUUCCUCAUUGAUAUCUGGAAUCGGCGCUUCAAGCUCUGAGCAUCGUCGAUUGUAGAGGUAGCAUGUGACACGUGCGGAUAAAUCUGGAAAGAAGAUUUGCCCGUGGGUUGAAGCCCAGCUUUUGAGAAAGCUAGCGUGUCUUUGACUGUUGAAUUUCCUUCUUCGAUUUCUGAAUUGGUGCUUCGACAAACUGCCCGAGAUUUUCGCAAAGCAAUUUGCGUGUGACAAGUGACGACACGUCUGGACAAAUUGAUCUUUUGAAAUCCGGGGUUCGGCUCGUGGUUUCUGAGCAAGCCCAGCCUUUAAGAAAUGAAACGCCUCUUUUGAGAAAAGAAUCCGGCUUUUGAGAAAGGAAACUCCUCUUUUGAGAAAAGAAUCAGGCGUUUGAGAACGGAGCCCCGACUCUUCGAUUUGCGAGAGAACGCCUCUUCAAUUUCUGAGGAGCGCCUCUUUGAUUUCUUCUUUUUAUAGAGGCGCUAAUUUUGUUCCACAACACACUUGAGCUCCCUCCUGUAAACACUCCCUUCUUGCACUUGUUUAAUCUUAAUCUGUCCGAUCUCUUCUUUCUCAACACCUUCAGAAAAUGUCUGGCCCUUCCGAUCGUCGUUUUGACUUGAACCGUGGUGCAGGCUUCACCAACAUACAUCUUUCAUAUCCCCUACUGGUCCUCUUACCCGUUGGGGAUUCCGUGAUGAAAAUGACAUGACCGCUGCGGUGGUGCCCGGAACCUUGUCACCCCCAGAGAUAACAGACUGCUCGCUAGACGAUCUGAUGAAUUGGCGGUUAAGGAGUCUCUGGCUCUUAGCGUGCAGUGUGCCGGUUCCGUGUCCAACAUGGCCCAACGCCUAUUUGCCCGUCACGUUGAAUCGUUGGUGGCUGAAAUACAGAGUCUCAAAGAGGAGAUUAGAGGACUCAAGCAUGAAAAUAAACAAUUGCACAAGCUUGCACACAAUUAUGCCACAAACAUGAAGAGGAAAAUUGACCAGCUACAGGAAAAUGAUGGUCAGAUUUUACUUGAUCACCGGAGUUUGUGGGUUUGUUCCAACGCAUCUGCCUUCGCUUCUGGGGCAGCACCGCGUAGUGAAGCUCCAACUGAUCAACCUCUGAUACCUCCUCCUUGGCUCCGCCGACUGCUGAAGCUCCGCCGACUACUGAAGCACCACCUGACCAAUACCCCUAUUAGUGCUUUAGUUUACACAUGUUUUACUUUUUAUGUUUUUUUUUUUUUUUUUUUCUUUUUUAAAUUAAUGUAGUAAAGACUUCCCCCACACUUAAACUAAAAUAACCACAAACCCUUCCCAAAUUAAACUAAAUAACAAAACAAACUAACAAACAAAUGAAAGCAGUAAAGAAAAGGGUGUAACAAUUAACUUUGGUUAUUCACUUAAAAGUCUUCCUUCAAUGAAAUUAAGAAACAACUUACGUUAACCAAAACAAAACUAAAAAUGAAAAAGCAGGGUGUAAGAAUUCAAAAUCUGAUUUGGUUAGCGAUUCCAAAGUCUCCCUUCGUUGAAUGCUUGGGUUGCCUCCGCUUGAUUUAACGUCUUUUAAAUCCCCUCGACGAACUCUCUUCCAAGCAUGGAAUUUAUCUUUUAAUGGGAGGUGAUACUUGAAAUGAUUCGGCAAUGGUUUAAAUUCAAGAAUGGGUGCCUGAAUCAUCAAAAUCAGAAAAAUGUUAGUAUAAAUAAAAAUUAAAAUUGGAGAAGAUGGCUUACUUUCUUUUUCCGACAACAAACUCAAUGACAAACACCACAUCUUUGAACUUGAAUUUCUUUUUCUGGGAUUUUGAACUUGGCCAGGUUUACUAUAUGAUGGUUGUGGCUUGUCCCGGGUCAUCAAACUCAACUGCUUUGGGCUUGAUUGUCUCAUGCACAACCCCUUGGAUGAAUUCUUGAUCUGCUUCAACCACUUCAUUCUCUUGAAUCCCUUUUCUUGGUGUGCAAGGUUCUUUGAACGUUUCAAUACCAUCGGGAACUUGUUUUGGUGCACCAAGAAUUGGGAUAUCACUUUGCACCUUUGGAAGAGCUUCCACAAUGUCUUUUUCACUCUCUUUGAUAUUUGGAAUCAAAAACCUGCAAGGACAAAGGACAUUCGGUGGAAUAAUGUUAGAAUGAAGUGAAUUUAGAACUUCCUCACCUGAGUUGGAUGACAUAGGGACUUGAGGAGCUUGCAGCAAGAAUUCUUCUAAACUGCCCAGGUCGUCCUCCUCCUCUUCUGCUUGCAGCAGCAAUUCAUCCAUGUUCGGGCUGUGUUUGGAUAGUUCUGGGACAGCUUCAUCCUUCAUAGCACUUCCCAAAGUGAUAGCAUCGUGGAUUUCAAAAUCUUCCUUCGAAUUUUCAACAUUUGAGUUGGAGAGUUCACUUUGCUCUUGAAUUUGUACCAUGAAUUCCAUAAUCUCUCCCAUUUGACUCUUCAAUUUAUCCAACUUCUUGUCUUGAUUUUGUUGGUCCUGCGUCAAAGAGGUUAGUACUUGAAGAAUUUGAUCACUAUCCAUGGACAUACUUGAAUUUGAUUGGAAUUGUUGUGGGGUAUGCGGUGGUGGCUGUAUAGGUGUGGUGUAGAACUCCUCAUAUGGCUGCCAAUAUGCAUCUUGUUGAGCCUCCUUGGCUUGAUUUUGUGAGCCCUGCACCAAACAAUUUAAUUCAUUAAGAAUUUGAUUAUAAUUUAUUGACGAACCUGAGUUUGAUUGAGCAUAUUGCAUAGGUUUUGAAUAGAACUCCUCCUCUUGCUGCCAAUAUCCCUCUUGUUGGAAUUGUUGAGGUUCCCCCCACAUAUAAUUUGAAUGAUCUCUCCAAGCCGAAUUGUAAGCGUUGGAAAACAUGUUGUUGCUUGGUUGAUCAUAGCCUUGAUAACCCCAAGCAUCUUCGUUCACAGUGAAUUGAGGAUGUUGAUAUCCUUGCCCAUAGGGCACAUCAAAUGUAGGGACACUUGGCAUUGUGGUCCGUUCGGCAUUAUGAGUCAAUUGAGCAGUGAGCUGUGCCAAUUGAGCUUGAAUGGUCGCAAGUGCCAUGUCUUGCUCCAUUUGUACCUAAAAUCAAAGAAAGAAAAAUAACUCAAAUAUCAAAAGUAACACAAAACAAGGAAAACAAAACUAAGUCAGAAACUAAAACAAAAAACAAACUAAACAAAAAGAAAAGAACCAAGGGAUUAGCAAAGUUGCUAAUCCCCGGCAACGGCGCCAAAAUUUGAUGCGUAAAAUUACUUGACACACAAAUUAAACCCCUCUUUUUGAUAAUUGUAGUAUAGAUGUAAGUAGGGUAUCGUUCUAGGCCGGGGAUUAGGAGGGAUUGCUAAUCUAUUCUAAAUUAAUUUAAAAAUAUUAAACAAGACUCAAGGACACAAAACUAGGCUAAAAACUCUAAUAACUCGAAACACACUUAGAAUGACUCAAAAUAAUGAAAACAAUCAAAUUAGACACUAGGAACUGAAAUGGACGGAAAUUGAAUUAAAAGACUAACAACAAUGAAAACUAACUAAAUAAUAUAAUUUAAUAAUGGGGGGGGUUUGGUUUUGACGAGAAGUAAAUUAAACUUAAAUAAAUUACAGAAUUGACAAAAACAUGAAAUUAAGGUGAAAGGAUAGGUGACGGACUAGCUAGAGGGUUCUUCUCCACACAUGACACAUAUGCAACCUAAAUUGAUUUUCAGUUGUUCUUUCAAUAAAUUGUAAAUCUCAACGCCCCAAAUUAACCGUGAAUUGCACUAAUUAACCCUCAGUUUUUCCACAAUGUUAUUGGGUUGGAUGAUUGCAUACGACAACCCAAAACAUUCCCUACAAGUUCCCUACAUGAAUUGCAUAAUAGAGAUACAAGCAAGAAUCAUUAAGUUCUAUGAAAAACAUAAGCAUUGACGAGGCACUCGUUACUAUGAUUUGCAUGAAACUUAUGCCAAGAAUUUACUUAACGUGAUUGUGACUAGCAACCUUCACUACUUGUGAAUAUAAGUUCAUAACGAUUAGGUGAAAUUCACUUAUAUUCUAGCAUCAAAUUCAUGCAUGUAAAUUAAGUAUGCAUCCUUAAUCGACAUACAAAAAUAAGUUAUAAAUCAAGCAGUUAAGCAAAUUAAAUCACAACUCAGAAAUCACAACUGAAGGUAAUCAAUUCAUAUUACAAAUAUAUUCAUGGCUUUGAAUUAACCUCUAGCCAAAAUAAAUUUAGUUACACAUUAUUAAAACAGAAAUAAAAUAUAAGUUUGGAAAGAUUUAACCGAGAGAGAGGGCAGAUUGCUGCUUUCUUCACUGGCGUCCUCCCUGUCUUCUCUUGAUCUCUCCGCAUGUCCUCACUUCCCCCUGCUGUCCUCACCUUUCUCUGCUGUCCUCACCUUCGGUUUCUGCUUUCCUCGCUGCCCAAGGCAGCCAAGCCUUUUAUUCCUCCUGCCCAGGUUCACGCUGCAAGAGCAGCCCUUCUUCUUAUCCGCUGCCCAGCUGCAAAGGCAGCUUUCAGCUUUCUUAUUUUUGUUUUUUUUUCUUUGCUGCGCUCUCUGACCUCGCUGCCAAAGGGCAGCGUUAUUCCCCCUCGGUUUCUGCUGCCGCAAGGCAGCUUUUGCUUCUCUCCCUCUGACUUCUGUCCGUGUGGACUCCCCCCUUCUUUCCGCUGUUCCCUUCUCCCGCUUGUUUCUUUCCUUUGUUUUUCUUUUAUUCCUUUUUUCCUC